GUGGGGAAUAUUGGACAAUGGGCGAAAGCCUGAUCCAGCAAUGCCGCGUGAGUGAAGAAGGCCUUCGGGUUGUAAAGCUCUUUUACCCGGGAAGAUAAUGACUGUACCGGGAGAAUAAGCCCCGGCUAACUCCGUGCCAGCAGCCGCGGUAAUACGGAGGGGGCUAGCGUUGUUCGGAAUUACUGGGCGUAAAGCGCACGUAGGCGGUCUUUUAAGUCAGAGGUGAAAGCCCGGGGCUCAACUCCGGAAUUGCCUUUGAAACUGGGAGACUUGAACACGGGAGAGGUGAGUGGAAUGCCGAGUGUAGAGGUGAAAUUCGUAGAUAUUCGGAGGAACACCAGUGGCGAAGGCGGCUCACUGGACCGUUGUUGACGCUGAGGUGCGAAAGCGUGGGGAGCAAACAGGAUUAGAAACCCCAGUAGUCC
rnacentral:rRNA from 1 species